CUAGACGUGGCCGUUAGGGAGAGUGGGUGGUGUUCGUUUGGGGACUGAGGCGGGUAAACGGCUGCACACCCGUCCUCAGGGGGCCAGAAGUUCCAUUUGGCUUACGCGUUAGAACAAGACAGCGACUUGCAGGGAGGUGUGUGUGCAUUUUUAAUCCUCCUAAUUGCUUUCAGAAGUGGAUCGUCUCGACAUACUUCUCACCAACCUUUUUCCUGAUCCAGUAGG